AGCACUUCCGGUUAGCGAGUUAGCGUCUUUUACGGUCUUUGGUUAGCGUGCAGAAAAAGUAAACUAUGGAUGGUGUUACACGCCGACACGGCUCCGGGACAUAUUGUGCUGUUCACGGUUGCAACAACUCGUGCCGAUUGCUGAAUGUUUGGUCGGAAGGAGAAUGUUUCGACCAUCAACCAUCUACAAGGUUGGUGAAGAAGCCGUGGCCCCCCGGUCGGCUCACUGCACGCCCUGUGGGGGUUGAGACCCCCAGUUUGGGAACCAAUGGAUUAAGCCAUCCUCAAAAAAGAACUCC
ensembl:lncRNA